rnacentral:rRNA from 1 species
GACGAACGCUGGCGGCGUGCUUAACACAUGCAAGUCGAACGAUGACGACCGAGCUUGCUCGGUCUGAUUAGUGGCGAACGGGUGAGUAACACGUGAGCAACCUGCCCUUCACUCUGGGAUAACCUCGGGAAAUCGGGGCUAAUACCGGAUAUGAGCUCCUGUCGCAUGGCGGGUGUUGGAAAGUUUUUCGGUGAAGGAUGGGCUCGCGGCCUAUCAGUUUGUUGGUGAGGUAGUGGCUCACCAAGGCGAUGACGGGUAGCCGGCCUGAGAGGGCGACCGGCCACACGGGGACUGGGAAACCGCCAGACCCCCACGGGGGGGCAGCAGUGGGAAAAUUUGAAAAAGGGGGAAAAGCCUGAUUCGGCGACGCCGCGGGGGGGAUGACGGCCUUGGGGUUGUAACCCUUUUUCAGGGGGGAAAAAGCGAAAGGGACGGUACCGGAAGAAGAAGCGCCGGCGAACUACG